CCUACGGGGGGCAGCAGUGAGGAAUAUUGGUCAAUGGGCUUACGCCUGAACCAGCCAAGUCGCGUGAGGGAAGACUGCCCUAUGGGUUGUAAACCUCUUUUGUCAGGGAGCAACGCCGGCUACGUGUAGCCGGACUGAGAGUACCUGAAGAAAAAGCAUCGGCUAACUCGGUGCCAGCAGCCGCGGUAGUACGGAGGAUGCGAGCGUUAUCCGGAUUUAUUGGGUUUAAAGGGUGCGUAGGCGGAAUGCCAAGUCAGCGGUAAAAUCGCGGGGCUCAACCUCGCUCCGCCGUUGAAACUGGCGGUCUUGAGUGGGCGAGAGGUAUGCGGAAUGCGUGGUGUAGCGGUGAAAUGCGUAGAGAUCACGCAGAACUCCGAUUGCGAAGGCAGCAUACCGGCGCCCGACUGACGCUGAAGUGCGAAAGCGUGGGUAUCGAACAGGAUUAGAUACCCGAGUAGUC
rnacentral:rRNA from 1 species